UUUGACCUUGUCGCUCUGUAAGUCAUUGGUAUUUUGCGCUGAGCCCAGCAGCAAGCACAACAAAAAUCUUUGGGACGUUACCUCAACCAAGAGCAACCUAG